AUUGAACGCUGGCGGCAUGCCUUACACAUGCAAGUCGAACGAUGAAGCUGGAGCUUGCUCUAGCGGAUUAGUGGCGAACGGGUGAGUAACACGUGAGCAAUCUGCCCUUGACUCUGGGAUAACUGCGGGAAACUGUAGCUAAUACCGGAUACGAGACUCGGAGGCAUCUCUGAGUCUGGAAAGAAUUUCGGUCAAGGAUGAGCUCGCGGCCUAUCAGCUAGUUGGUGAGGUAAUGGCUCACCAAGGCGACGACGGGUAGCCGGCCUGAGAGGGUGACCGGCCACACUGGGACUGAGACACGGCCCAGACUCCUACGGGAGGCAGCAGUGGGGAAUAUUGCACAAUGGGCGAAAGCCUGAUGCAGCAACGCCGCGUGAGGGAUGAAGGCCUUCGGGUUGUAAACCUCUUUUAGCAGGGAAGAAGCGAAAGUGACGGUACCUGCAGAAAAAGCACCGGCUAACUACGUGCCAGCAGCCGCGGUAA
rnacentral:rRNA from 1 species